rnacentral:rRNA from 1 species
UAAGGUGGCAAUAUCGUGAGGGUUACACAUCUUCACAUUCCGAACAGAGCAGUUAAUCCUCAACCCGCCGAUGGUACUGCGAAAGUGGGAGAGUAGGUAACCGCCCCCU